rnacentral:misc_RNA from 1 species
UCCGUUUUGUCAACGGCAGUCUCAAUAGAGUGCCCGGCCGAACCGCUGGCAACUAAUGAUAGGGGUUGCGCUCGUUACGGGACUUAACCCAACACCUCACGGCACGAGCUGACGACAGCCAUGCAGCACCUAGUUUCGUGCUAUUGCUAGCUGCCAUGUUUCUACGGCAUUCACUAACUUUCAAGCCCAGGUAAGGUUCCUCGCGUAUCAUCGAAUUAAACCACAUGCUCCUCCGCUUGUGCGGGCCCCCGUCAAUUCCUUUGAGUUUCAGCCUUGCGGCCGUACUCCCCAGGCGGGGCACUUAAUGCGUUAGCUUCGGCACCGCGGGGGUCAAUACCCGCGACGCCUAGCACCCAAAGUUUACGGCGUGGACUAC